AUGCCGCCCACGCUCCCCGCCGGUAAACCUCCGGCGGGAGCAACCCAGCCGCCGGAGCCCGCGACGCCGCCAGCCAAGAGCAGGGUGGCCGACGCCCAGUUGCCGGAGCGCAAAAGGAAGGUUGCGCCAUCAGCCGGUCCGCCGGAGAAGAACAAGAAGAAAGAGAAGACCAGAUCGCCGCCGGCCGAGCCCGACAAGAAGCCUCUUCCUCUCCCGUUCGAGCACGCCUGGACACCCGGCGACGAGGCCCCGGUGCGGGCAACCCAACCGCCGGACCCCGCGAAGAGCAUGCAUACGCCGUCAGCCAAGAGCAGGGAGGCCGAUGCCCAGCUGCCGGAGCGCAAGAGGAAGACCGCGCCAUCAGCAGAUCUGCCCCAGAAGAAAGGCAAGACGACAUCGACGCCGGCGGCCGAGCCCGACAAGAAGCCUCUUCCUCUCCCGUCCGAGCACGCGUGGACGCCCGGCGACGAGGUCAAAAUACUCGAGGCCCUGGCGGCGCAUCGCCAGGAGCACGGCAAGCUGCCGAGAACCAAGGUGCUCUUCUCCUCCCUCCAACUCCAAGGCCGCCUCGACAACAACGGCUUCAGCAUGCCGGACCUCCGGCAGAAGGUGCGCAGUCUCAAGGGCCGGCACGACCACGAGGCCAUCAACGCCGUCCCUGCCAAAGAAAGUGAAUGCAGCCUCUGCCACCUCUCCAAGACCGUCUGGGGCACCAUUGCUAGGAGCGGUGGUGAAGCAAGCGCAAAAGUACCAAAUGCGGGCAACAUGUUCGAUGAAAUGUGCCAGUUGUAUCCUUGCCUCACUGAUGAGGUGACGCACAUUGUCGAUGAACCCGCAGUCUUGGAGAGACUGCUCUUGGACUUUGAUGGUACCAAGGCACGUGCAUUGGACUCCAAAAUCGUCAACCUCAGGAAAGAGCUCACCGAGGCUAUCAUGGAAUCGGCAAAGAGGCAAAACCUUGAAGUGCCUAAAGUAUGGCAGUGCCCAUGCACUAAGCUUCAGCCAUCAAAGUCGAGAACACAAAAUGAAAGCAUACUUUUGUCAGAGCGCUUGGAUAAAAUUGAGGGUGCGGGUGUUGAGACGCAGGAGCAAUUGAAAAGAAUGGAACGUGAAAUGGCAGAACUAAAAAAAAGUUCAAAGGUGAUAAGAUGUGAUUCUGCUGCGAGUGCGCCUCACUCAGUUGUAGCAGAAAAACAGUUUUCAGGCAAUGUACUGCAAAGGAAGAUAGAGCCGCAAGGGAAAUUGCCUCAUUGCAAGAAUAGGGAGGUUACCUCUAAGUAUCGGCCUCCCCGCAAUUUAUUGCCAAAGACGAGAUUGGCGCUGAAAAGUAUGCCUCGUGUUAGGAGAGAGAAGAUUGAUGCUGAAAGUCAGAUUCUGCAUGAUGUGGAACAGAGGAAGGUAGCUGCAUGUGCACAACAAGGCUUUUCGCAUGAUUUGAAUGUGGAGGGUGGGAAAGAGGUCUUUUUACUUUCAUAUGUACGGCCACAUCGUCGAGUAGCCAAGGCUACUCUUCAAACAUCUUGUACAUCUACAAUAGUUGGGGACAAGGAACUUGGACCUGGAUGUUGCCUAGUGUUGGUCAAUCAAGUGUUGGAUGGAAAGGCUCCUCUGAUACGCCCUCUCAGGGACAUAAACACAAUGGAUGAGGCACUUGGACAUUCUAUUGCAUGGACACGUCAACAAAUCCAAGAUGAUACUACUGCUGCCAUGGUAGCACCUAACCAAGCAUCUCCAGGGCAAAAGGGAUGA
rnacentral:rRNA from 1 species